UACGAAGGGUGCGAGCGUUAUUCGGAAUAACUGGGCGUAAAGGGCGCGUAGGCGGUUUUCUAAGUUGACGGUUAAAAGCCAUGGCUUAACCAUGGAGAUGCCGGCGAUACUGGAAUGACUAGAGGGUAGUAGAGAGGAGUGGAAUUCUCGGAGUAGCGGUAAAAUGCGUAGAUCUCGAGAGGAACACCGAUGGCGAAGGCAGCUCCUUGGGCUACAUCUGACGCUAAGGCGCGAAAGCGUGGGGAGCAAACAGG
rnacentral:rRNA from 1 species